UGGGGAAUAUUGGACAAUGGGCGAAAGCCUGAUCCAGCCAUGCCGCGUGUGUGAAGAAGGCCUUUUGGUUGUAAAGCACUUUAAGUGGGGAGGAAAAGCUUAUGGUUAAUACCCAUAAGCCCUGACGUUACCCACAGAAUAAGCACCGGCUAACUCUGUGCCAGCAGCCGCGGUAAUACAGAGGGUGCAAGCGUUAAUCGGAAUUACUGGGCGUAAAGCACGCGUAGGUGGUUAUUUAAGUCAGAUGUGAAAGCCCCGGGCUUAACCUGGGAACUGCAUCUGAUACUGGAUAACUAGAGUAGGUGAGAGGGGAGUAGAAUUCCAGGUGUAGCGGUGAAAUGCGUAGAGAUCUGGAGGAAUACCGAUGGCGAAGGCAGCUCCCUGGCAUCAUACUGACACUGAGGUGCGAAAGCGUGGGUAGCAAACAGGAUUAGAUACCCUGGUAGUCCACGCCGUAAACGAUGUCUACCAGUCGUUGGGUCUUUUAAAGACUUAGUGACGCAGUUAACGCAAUAAGUAGACCGCCUGGGGAGUACGGCCGCAAGGUUA
rnacentral:rRNA from 1 species